rnacentral:rRNA from 1 species
CCCCUUCACCUACGGCAUGCUAUACUGCAUGUCGCACGAACUCUGGUAUUGAUUGGUGCUUGCAUCAUGAUUUACAUUUGAGUGAGUGGCGAACUGGUGAGUAACACGUGGGAAACCUGCCCAGAAGCGGGGGAUAACACCUGGAAACAGAUGCUAAUACCGCAUAACAACUUGGACCGCAUGGUCCGAGUUUGAAAGAUGGCUUCGGCUAUCACUUUUGGAUGGUCCCGCGGCGUAUUAGCUAGAUGGUGGGGUAACGGCUCACCAUGGCAAUGAUACGUAGCCGACCUGAGAGGGUAAUCGGCCACAUUGGGACUGAGACACGGCCCAAACUCCUACGGGAGGCAGCAGUAGGGAAUCUUCCACAAUGGACGAAAGUCUGAUGGAGCAACGCCGCGUGAGUGAAGAAGGGUUUCGGCUCGUAAAACUCUGUUGUUAAAGAAGAACAUAUCUGAGAGUAACUGUUCAGGUAUUGACGGUAUUUAACCAGAAAGCCACGGCUAACUACGUGCCAGCAGCCGCGGUAAUACGUAGGUGGCAAGCGUUGUCCGGAUUUAUUGGGCGUAAAGCGAGCGCAGGCGGUUUUUUAAGUCUGAUGUGAAAGCCUUCGGCUCAACCGAAGAAGUGCAUCGGAAACUGGGAAACUUGAGUGCAGAAGAGGACAGUGGAACUCCAUGUGUAGCGGUGAAAUGCGUAGAUAUAUGGAAGAACACCAGUGGCGAAGGCGGCUGUCUGGUCUGUAACUGACGCUGAGGCUCGAAAGUAUGGGUAGCAAACAGGAUUAGAUACCCUGGUAGUCCAUACCGUAAACGAUGAAUGCUAAGUGUUGGAGGGUUUCCGCCCUUCAGUGCUGCAGCUAACGCAUUAAGCAUUCCGCCUGGGGAGUACGGCCGCAAGGCUGAAACUCAAAGGAAUUGACGGGGGCCCGCACAAGCGGUGGAGCAUGUGGUUUAAUUCGAAGCUACGCGAAGAACCUUACCAGGUCUUGACAUACUAUUCAAAUCUAAAAAAUUAAACUUUCCCUUCCC